CAUAUCUCUUCGAUUCUCUUUCCGUCCUUUCCAGGCCAAAUAAAAUCAUGGAUCCCAUUGAGGUGGAAUGAGCCCCAAAGUGGGUCUUGCCGGGCAUCAGUAGGGCGGGACUCGGCCUGGCUUAUACCAGCUGUUACGUGGACCCAGUAGACCCACCAUCACCUGAAAGUGGUUUAUAGCAAGACUUACACAAUAUAACAAAGCAUACAUUUUCAAACACAAACCGAUAACAAACUGCAAUGCUCAGCUUUAAACGUCUGCCAAGUUCUCACAGCCAGUUCCUCUUUUUUCUACCUUCCACUUCCAAGUCUUCAGAUUUGGUUAAAUUCCCUGACCAAGACUUUUUGUUUAACUACCAUCUUUGAUGUAAGUGGCAGAGACAUUAUUUAAUGCACGUCAGUUUUCUGAUGAUGGAAUUAUCCAGAAUUGUUUCACCUUUGUUUGCCUCUAACAGCCUAAUCAUUAAAGUUCCUGAGUGAAAUUAA